CUUGCAGCUCUCUGCCUCCCCAGCAGUGCACAGCCAAGCUCUGCUACCUUUCAGCUGUUUCUGGGCAUCCUUUAAGUACAGAACAUGUUUACAGAGUACAGCAAAACAAGUUCAAGACAAAACAUUGGCAAGAUCUGCAAAAUACAAGAACAGGAACUGUAAGCAUGUGCAGCAUGGUAACUGAUUCUACUCAGCAUCUGUAAGCCUGAAUUUCAGAUGGUUUCAUCCUCCUCAGAAAUACACAAGUCUUUACUAUUCACAGGGACAAAUCCCUCAGCUUACAGCGUUACCUUACUUUCAUUCCUCUGAAUUCAAAAGCAUGACUUCCUUCCUCUCACCUCUAUUUCCCAGGAAAAAACGCUGGCAGCCUGCCCAGACCCUGAGCAUUCAGAAGUACCAAGCCUACAACUCCCUCAGAAUACCUGGAUGGGGAUGCUGAACAGCUGAUCGAUCACUGACAUCGAGGGGAAUCAGGCUAUGCUAGAGCCAACAUUCCCUGUAGUCUUCCAGACCCAGCACUACCAGUGGCAUCCCAAGUGGCAUGAGGGCCCAGGCACUCUUCUGAUUCAAACCACACAGAGAGAGGGGCAGAGAGAAAUUACAAAAUUGAGCUGGCAUUCCCAGGACCCGGCAUCUUAUUUCAGUUCUCUCCUCUCUUUUGGGCAGGGGGCAGUUACACCUCACUUCUCAGCACCGGGGACAAGAUGAGCAGUGUGUCUAGUCUCCUCUUCAAAGACUACCACAAUACCAACACUUUGAUAACCUCCUAGGGAAAAAAUCUGCUCCUGUAGCUGGCUAGUCAGCCCUAUAGAAUAAAGUCAGAGAAGCAUGAAAAGUCCCCUACUGAGGUCAGUGGGACUGGAUGUGAUUAUCUGAGAAGAGAAUUCAACUCUUAAGCAAUUUAUUAUCUCUCCUGUAAUUUAUUCCAAUACUUACUCUCUACACACUUAGCAAUGUAAUUAUGUCACCACUACACAGCCCUGUGCAUCUGUAAUACUGAUCCUGUUACACUUCCACACAGGGAGCCUGGACAAGCGAUGAAGCCCACCUGCCUCACUCCUCGCAUUUUCAAGUCAGAAACCAUGUGGACAAACACACCUUGUGUCUGAUGGUGGUGACCACACGGUUCCUACUCAGCCAUCAACAAAUGUUAACAGCAAAACAUUUCUUCAAUGUGGAAAGAGAAGCAUCAGUGGUGGGGAAGGAAGCUUCGGAAAGUUACUAAUGAAGGCAGACAGCCUUACAGCAAACGAAGAUCCACUGUAUACUGAUAUCAUCCAUCUUAACAGACACCCUUACUUCACCCAUGUAUAAUUCAUUUGGAACUUUCUUCCCUCUUCAGUAACUUAUUAAUGAUUCAUUAACAAGCCUUGAGAAUAAGAGCAAACAGGUGUGGAAGACACCAUGUUGAAGAUUUCAGUACCUACUUACCCAACUGACAUUUGCAUCUUAA